rnacentral:rRNA from 1 species
GUCCACGCCCUAAACGAUGUCAACUAGUUGUUGGUAUAGUAAAUCUAUGAGUAACGCAGCUAACGCGUGAAGUUGACCGCCUGGGGAGUACGAUCGCAAGAUUAAACUCAAAUGAAUUGACGGGGCCCGCACAAGCGGUGGAUUAUGUGGAUUAAUUCGAUGCAACGCGAAAACCUUACCUGGCCUUGACAUGUACCGAAUUUGGGAGAGAUUCCUUAGUGCUCGAAAGAGAACGGUAACACAGGUGCUGCAUGGCUGUCGU